UACGAAGGGGGCUAGCGUUGUUCGGAAUUACUGGGCGUAAGCGCACGUAGGCGGAUAUUUAAGUCAGGGGUGAAAUCCCGGGGCUCAACCCCGGAACUGCCUUUGAUACUGGGUAUCUCGAGUCCGAGAGAGGUGAGUGGAAUUCCGAGUGUAGAGGUGAAAUUCGUAGAUAUUCGGAGGAACACCAGUGGCGAAGGCGGCUCACUGGCUCGGUACUGACGCUGAGGUGCGAAAGCGUGGGGAGCAAAAAGG
rnacentral:rRNA from 1 species